rnacentral:rRNA from 1 species
UUUGGUGGCGAUAGCGAAGAGGUCACACUCGUUCCCAUUCCGAACACGGCAGUUAAGCUCUUCAGCGCCGAUGGUAGUUGGGGGUUUCCCCCUGUGAGAGUAGGACGCCGCCAAGC